rnacentral:lncRNA from 1 species
GCAGUGCUAUCAGAGAAGGAAAUGGAAGGUGAUAGCAUAUUUAGAGGAGAAGAGAAAGCAUCCACCUACAUCAAUGGAAAUAUUUUGAAAGGAUUUCAAGGAGUCUGAGAAAUAAUGAUGAAGUUGACAAAGGAAGAAUCUUAACUUUGAUCUUAUUUUCUCCUGAAAAGCAAUUUGAGCCACUGGUAUGGAAAAAGUGAGGAGAACCAUUCACUUCAUUGCCUCCAGAAAGAAAAUUUCCAUCACAGCAUUGUCAGCCUCUCCUCUUUCCCACAUGGUCCCAUUUCCCCUGGGAAUGAUCUUGCCCAUACCAUCUUCGUACUGGCGAUGGGCAGUUGGAUGCUGGCUUUUAUGGGACAACUGGGCAUCUGGCAGGAACCCGGAAGUCACUGUUCCCCUCUGCGACUUCAGUCAGCUGCUGGAGGACAAGAAUUUAUUUUAUAGCCAAGUUCGGAGCCUGCCUUUUUCUAAUCCUUCAAGUAUGGAUGCAGUUUCUUCACAGUGUCAUCCAUACCUGGAUAACUAA